GGCAUUUUAAACAAGACUCUCAUUGCCAUUUCUGAUGAGGAUCUAACUGUUAAUCUUUUAUCUUGCAGUCAGCCAUAUGACUCUGCAGUGACUCUUCCCUGCUUGCGAGAUUCCUGCAGUAAACAAUAAGACUAUAUUUUUAACUCAUCAUGCAUUUAAGAUGGAGGCAAUAAUUCAGUUUCCAGUUUCUCGAGCAUUUGGUGGAUUUGACCAGCUUUAACGGCUACAAAGCUCUCCCUUUUAUUUUGUUAUCACCCAGUUCUUAACUUGCACUCUGCUUUGCAGACAUGGUUAGAAUUUUUCAUUUUCUGUUUAAUCCAAGUUCCUCUGUUGCUUGUGAGGAGGGACAACAUAACAAGAACCAAAAAACAUGGCAAAAGGAACAAUGGUGAAAGGAAAACUGUGGGUUUGGAUCCACUGCUAAACUAGUUGCAAGCAAGACCUGUGACUGGUGAAUUUACUACCGAUGAAAGGUGGGUAAUUGAUGUGAAACAACUGAAACAACCGAAACAACUGAAAACUUCUUUUGAUCUACAGAACAAGUCAAGCACAGGGUCAGCGCUCUGCUUUGUUCUACCAUCCAGCCAUUUCUGGGAUUCUCUGUAGAAGUGGAAGAGAGGUCACAUCUGCCAGUGAGUUUCCUCUUUAACCUAAGAACAAUAAACACCUGGACAGCUGCACCACCACAUUAAGCACCUCUCCUGAUGAACAGCUCCA